CCUACGGGGGGCUGCAGUGGGGAAUAUUGGACAAUGGGGGCAACCCUGAUCCAGCAAUGCCGCGUGUGUGAAGAAGGCCUGCGGGUUGUAAAGCACUUUUGUCCGGGAAGAAAGGACCUGACCUAAUACGUUGGGGGGAUGACGGUACCGGAAGAAUAAGCACCGGCUAACUUCGUGCCAGCAGCCGCGGUAAUACGAAGGGUGCAAGCGUUAAUCGGAAUUACUGGGCGUAAAGGGUGCGUAGACGGCCUGUUAAGUCGACUGUGAAAGUCCUG
rnacentral:rRNA from 1 species